rnacentral:lncRNA from 1 species
GGAGCUGCAGUUGGAAUGCCUGAAGCGACUGCCAACAACUGCCCGGCGGAGGGCAUUCGUCUUGGAGUUUUCGUCCAGCUCGGAAGCAAGCAGCCCGCAGCAACCUCGGCAGCAGCAGCCGGAAUCGCCUGCUGCGCCAGCUACUGGGCUGCAGAGUGGAGGUCAUGCCGGCCCAGGGAAGGAGCCCAGAAAUGGCCGGAUUACACCUGGUAAGUCAGCCCUGUCACCGCCGCUCGUGGAUGUUGCGCGACGGCAUCGCCCCUCAGCGUCACCUUAUCGCUCAGGCUCUCGCAGGGUAUCUAUAUACCCCAACAUUCCAUACUCUGCGUACGGGACCUCCUAAAUAGUGAUACCUGGACAACAAGCGAUAGCAGUCGCAGCUUUACCCUUGCUAAUAGAGAGAUGGGAUGGAUUGGAGACCGGAAUCGUGCCUGCUCCCUAGAUACUCAAGGCUGUGGCUUCCUCCAGGAUCUGGGGUCCGAGGUUCCACUGGUGCCUCCGAAGAGCUCCUCCGAACUGGAGCCCGCCCGCUUGCCUAGGAGGCACAACCGCUGGCGACGCCAUCCGUACUGCUACCUUCGCUGUCGUUGCAAACCCCAGGGAUUGAGCUCGGCGGCAGCACGCUAACGACAGCGAUGUUGGGGGACAAGGGUCCAGGUAACGGGAAGGCGCCGAAGGGCAGAAAGGAGGUACCGCGUACGGACGGCGGUGAAGGUGCCACGGCUGGGAAGGCUAGGGCGAAGAGGGGUCUAUGUGGAGCCGGGUUGGCGGCAGUGGAGCAGCGGGCGUUCCUUUUGUCACGGGCGCAACUUGCACAAACGUUUUACAACAA